CCUACGGGUGGCAGCAGUGAGGAAUAUUGGUCAAUGGGCGGGAGCCUGAACCAGCCAAGUCGCGUGAGGGAAGACGGUCCUAUGGAUUGUAAACCUCUUUAGGCGGGGAGCAAUGCCGGGCACGCGUGCCCGGAGGGAGAGUACCCGCAGAAUAAGCAUCGGCUAACUUCGUGCCAGCAGCCGCGGUAAUACGAAGGGGGCAAGCGUUGUUCGGAAUUACUGGGCGUAAAGGGAGUGUAGGCGGUUUAGUAAGAUAGUGGUGAAAUCCCAGAGCUUAACUUUGGAAUUGCCAUUAUAACUAUUAGACUAGAAUUACAGAGAGGAUAGUGGAAUACCCAGUGUAGAGGUGAAAUUCGUAGAUAUUGGGUAGAACACCAGUGGCGAAGGCGACUAUCUGGCUGUACAUUGACGCUGAGGCUCGAAAGCAUGGGGAUCAAACAGGAUUAGAUACCCCAGUAGUC
rnacentral:rRNA from 1 species